rfam:Bacteroidetes bacterium GWA2_32_17 gwa2_scaffold_16617, whole genome shotgun sequence.
AACAGGGAAGCCGAAAACUGUAGAGAGUAGGCA